rnacentral:misc_RNA from 1 species
CCAAACUUGGUCAUUUAGAGGAAGUAAAAGUCGUAACAAGGUAACCGUAGGUGAACCUGCGGUUGGAUCAUUACUAAAGAGGGCGUUCCCAAAAAGACCCCCCUUUCAACCUUGUGUGCUCUAGUAAUUGUUAUUGGUAGCUGUUUUUCCUCUGAUAAUAAGGAGGAGAAAGGAUUUAUGAUAAGUUGGUUUUACUUAUUAUAAGUUCACCACCGCUCGUAAAUAACCAUUAAAUCCUUUUGGGGGUUUUUUUUGGGGGUUUUACGGGUUCUUUUUUUUUCGGUGGUCGUCACCAGCGGUGAUUAAAGCUGAAAUAAUUUUCGGUUUUUUCCACCAAAGCAAACAAACUUAGUAUUAUCAACUUUUUAGUCUUUUUUGUGGUUUCCAAUGGAAACGUUGAGUAAUCAAAAAAACAACUUUUGACAACGGAUCUCUUGGCUCUCGCAUCGAUGAAGAACGCAGC